UACGUAGGUGGCAAGCGUUGUCCGGAAUCCUUGGGCGUAAAGAGCGUGUAGGCGGCCUGGUAAGUCCGCUGUGAAAGUCCAGGGCUCAACCCUGGAAUGCCGGUGGAAACUGUCAGGCUCGAGUCCGGAAGAGGCGAGUGGAAUUCCUGGUGUAGCGGUGAAAUGCGCAGAUAUCAGGAGGAACACCAAUGGCGAAGGCAGCUCGCUGGGACGGUACUGACGCUGAGACGCGAAAGCGUGGGGAGCAAACAGG
rnacentral:rRNA from 1 species